UGGGGGAUAUUGCACAAUGGAGGAAACUCUGAUGCAGCGACGCCGCGUGAGUGAAGAAGUAUUUCGGUAUGUAAAGCUCUAUCAGCAGGGAAGAUAAUGACAGUACCUGACUAAGAAGCCCCGGCUAACUACGUGCCAGCAGCCGCGGUAAUACGUAGGGGGCAAGCGUUAUCCGGAUUUACUGGGUGUAAAGGGAGCGUAGACGGAAUGGCAAGUCUGAAGUGAAAUCCUGCGGCUUAACUGCAGAAUUGCUUUGGAAACUGUCAAUCUGGAGUGUUGGAGAGGUAAGCGGAAUUCCUGGUGUAGCGGUGAAAUGCGUAGAUAUCAGGAAGAACACCGGAGGCGAAGGCGGCUUACUGGACAAUAACUGACGUUGAGGCUCGAAAGCGUGGGAAGCAAACAGG
rnacentral:rRNA from 1 species